CCGCCAACCUCCAAAGCUGAGGUCGCCGCGGCCGGAAGCCAAUGAGAAGGCCGAAGCGGCGCGACGUCUCGCCUCCCGGAACCCGCGAGGGAAGUUGGUGAAUGGGCAGGCGAGGGAAACUGUGCGGAAGAACCGUAAUGGUGACACGCGUGCUGGAAGUGGCACACAGAGCCAUCUCUCUCGGCACGCGAGCCGUCACCCGUUGCUCUUCUGGAAUUCCGGUGCGGCAGCCAGUGAGAUCACACCUGCGAAAGCUGCGGAAACCGGAAGAGCAGCCACCCGGUGCACAGCGGCCACCUGGUCUUAUAGUUUCUGGUGCGCAUGCGUGCGUGAAGACCUGCUGGCUGGUGCCAUCUAAAUUUGUCUCUUAAUAUUUCUCUCUUGUUCCUUCUUGUCAUACUGUUUCCACCACCACUACUUUUUGAUAAGGAAAGCACUGUUACACCCUCCCGACAACCCAGCGGAAGAGCACCAAGGAAGUCAGGACUUGCAAGAAGAUAGUGGAGUGAAUCCCAUCUCUGUAUUUGCAACAAUUUUUCUUACUUCCUUAAAGUCCAAAGAGCUCAGCAAUACGCUGUUGAUAUUGUAAAUUUGGCAGAGUCUCAACAUCUUUUUUACAUUGUGGCAACCAAAACUGGAUGCGAUAUUCCAAGUGUGGCCUUAUGCUGGUGGACCACAUGUUGUGGUCCACCAGCAGCCUGCAGAGCUGGCAGCGGAGUCAGACAGCGAAGAGGACAAUGGGUCAGUCCUGAGUCAGGGGAAGGCCCAGACGAGGGCUCUGCGUCAGAGGCAGAGAUGGGGCCAAGGCCAUCUGGGAGCGAUGCAGGGACUCUGGAGCCUCCAGAGGCAGAUUUAUUUAUUUUAUUUAUUUAUUAUUUAGAUUUUUAUACCGCCCUUCUCCCGAAGGACUCAGGGCGGUGUACAGCAGAUAGCAGAGAGGCAGAGGAACAGGAAGAGACUGUUCCUAGUGCAUGCAUGCAAAGAGCUGCCAGAAGGCAAGAGCACCUAAAGCAACAAGGACAACUCGGGAGUAAGGCCAGGAGAUGAUUGGCCCCUCCCAUAAGGCUUAAGAGCAGCAACGGCUCUUAGGCUCUUUGUAGGAAAGCAACGUUGCUACAUCUGUUUUAAGUCGGCGUCUCUAGUUUUUGAAAUUUGUGGGCUUUGCCAAGAAAAGCCUUUGACAGAGUGCCAAAGAAGAUAAAGGUUUGUGAUAGGGCUAAAGGACUUUUUCUGAAGGACUUGUUUUGCAAUUAAUUUGGACUGAGCUGAGAAUGAAGUAAUUCUCAGCUGUUCUAAUAAAAUAGAUUUGUUUAGGACUGAUUGUUUCUGGUAAUAACUACUUGGGCCUAGGUCACAACAGUAUGGCAGUUUAUUCAGAGUUACAACAUGCUGAAAAAAAUGAUGAGACUACUCCUUCUGCUUAUGACUGUCCCAAUGCCCAGCGGUCAUGUAAUCAAAAUUUGGGCAUUUGACAAUUGGCAUCUAUUUAUGAUGGGUGCAAUACCCUGGGUCAUCCGAUUGCUAUUUAUGAUCUUCCCAACUGGUUUCCAACAAGCAACUAUAGUGUAUAGUGGAAACUGGAUUUGCUUAACAAUUGUGAUUCACUUAACGCCCACAGCAAAAAAGUUGUCAAAUUGGAUGUGUCUCACUUAACAACUCCCUCAUUUAGCUACCGAAGUUCCAGUCCCAAUUGUGAUCAUAUAUCGAGUACAGGUGGUCCUCGACUUAACAACAGUUCCUUUAGUGAUGUUCAAAGUUACGACACUGAAAAAAGUGAGUUCCGGCCAUUUUUCACACUUAUGACCAUUGCAGGAUCCCCAUGGUCAUAUGAUUAACAUUCAGACGCUUGGCAACUGACUCACAUUUAUGACGGUUGCAGUGUCCUGGGGUCAUGUGAAUCCCCUUUGUGACCUUUUGAUAAGCAAAAUCAAUGGGGAAGCCAGAUUCACUUAACAGCCGUGUUACUAAUUUAACAACUGCAGGGAUUCACUUAACAAACAUAGCAAGAAAUGUCGUAAAAUGGGGCAAAACUCACUCAACAAAUUUCUCACUUAGCAACAUAUAUUUUAGGCUCAAUUGUGGUCAUAAGUUGAGGACUAUCUGUACUUAUUUUUUACUCUUAUCUUGGAAAAAUGUAUGGGAAAUCAUUGGAAUUUUUAAGGAACACAGCGAGACUUGUAAGCCUCUGCAAACUUAAUGGCACCCUUUCCCUUCCCACCCGUUAACCUCUUAAAAAAAUUCUCAGAAAUCCCAAAUUUUCAGCCCUCCCACUUUAAUGCGGCUCCAGGGUAAUAAAUGGGAUGCCAGAGGUAACAUUUGCUCCCCCACCCCACCCCACUCCAAGUUUCCCUCCUGUUAUACAGAAACAGAAAUCUGCAAAGUAAAUUAGUUGACUGAGCUAACCUAAUGCUUAAUGUGCAACUUACACACAGCCCCAAUUUAAGUAUAUUGUUUUGGUUCACAAAACUCCCGGUGCCACCAAAGAAGUCAGCCUAGUUAUCAAAUUGGUUUGUAUAACACAUCUGAUUAUGCCAACCAUUUCGAGCACCAGGCCCAAAUAAUAAGCCUCAGCGUGGUUUGUUUUGGCUUCAUAUGUUGCGCGCAAACCCAAGCCAAUGUGGUUUGGAAGCUCCAGUUUGUAACUUAAGUGUGUUGUAUAAACCUAGCCAGUUGCACUUUACUGACUAAACCAUGUGUAAACAAAUUUAGGUUUUGGACAACGUGUGGCCUCCUCAGCAGCUAAGUAAAAGUAGCUUGUUUUGUCCUGCUCCCAGGAAGCUAAAAAUUAUAGAAGAGGGGAUUGGAAGAGUCAUCUCAUUUUACCUGCCCCCUCAUGGUUGGCUGAGGUCUUGCAAGUCAGAUCUGGUAACCUAAUCCUAUCCUCACUGCAACCCUGUAAAGUAGUUCAAGCUUGGUUUAACAACUGCUCUCAACCUCCCUUUCUACUGGGUUAAUCUUAACUCCCUGGGAAUUUUUUCAGAACUGUUUCAUUUAUAAAUAAACAAAAAGCCUGAACAAUCGGCCAACGAUUUCCUGGCCGAGGCCUUGUUUUCCUCCUGCUGUUCCUUGGGACUCGGAGAUGGGCUGUCUUCAUUUCUCUCUGCUCCCCCCCCCUCCUUCCUAGUCUUCAUUUUCGAUCCAGGCAGAAUAUUUGGAAUGG